GCUAUUUAGGUUAGAGUUUGAUCAUGGCUCAGGACGAACGCUGGCGGCGUGCUUAACACAUGCAAGUCGAACGGAAAGGCCUCUUCGGAGGUACUCGAGUGGCGAACGGGUGAGUAACACGUGGGCAAUCUGCCCUGCACUUCGGGAUAAGCCUGGGAAACUGGGUCUAAUACCGAAUAGGACCUUUAGACGCAUGUCUUUUGGUGGAAAGCUUUUGCGGUGUGGGAUGGGCCCGCGGCCUAUCAGCUUGUUGGUGGGGUGAUGGCCUACCAAGGCGACGACGGGUAGCCGGCCUGAGAGGGUGUCCGGCCACACUGGGACUGAGAUACGGCCCAGACUCCUACGGGAGGCAGCAGUGGGGAAUAUUGCACAAUGGGCGCAAGCCUGAUGCAGCGACGCCGCGUGGGGGAUGACGGCCUUCGGGUUGUAAACUCCUUUCGACCGAGAUGAAGAGGCGCCGACCUAACACGUCGGCGUCCUGACAGUAUCGAGGGAAGCAGCCCCGGCUAACUCCGUGCCAGCAGCCGCGGUAAU
rnacentral:rRNA from 1 species